GACGAACGCUGGCGGCGUGCUUAACACAUGCAAGUCGAACGGAAAGGCCUCUUUCGGGUGGUACUCGAGUGGCGAACGGGUGAGUAACACGUGAGUAACCUGCCCUUGACUUUGGGAUAACUUCAGGAAACUGGGGCUAAUACCGGAUAGGAGCUCCUGCUGCAUGGUGGGGGUUGGAAAGUUUCGGCGGUUGGGGAUGGACUCGCGGCGUAUCAGCUUGUUGGUGGGGUAGUGGCUUACCAAGGCUUUGACGGGUAGCCGGCCUGAGAGGGUGACCGGCCAAAUUGGGACUGAGAUACGGCCCAGACUCCUACGGGAGGCAGCAGUGGGGAAGAUUGAACAAGGGGUGGAAGCCUGAUGCAGCAACGCCGUGUGCGGGAGGACGGCCUUCGGGUUGGAAACCGCUUUCGCUCAUGACGAAGCUUUGUGUGACGGUAGUGGGUAAAGAAGCACCGGCUAACUACGUG
rnacentral:rRNA from 1 species